UACGUAGGUGGCAAGCGUUAUCCGGAAUUACUGGGCGUAAAGCGUGCGCAGGCGGUUCGCUAAGACCGAUGUGAAAUCCCCGGGCUUAACCUGGGAACUGCAUUGGUGACUGGCGGGCUAGAGUAUGGCAGAGGGGGGUAGAAUUCCACGUGUAGCAGUGAAAUGCGUAGAGAUGUGGAGGAAUACCGAUGGCGAAGGCAGCCCCCUGGGCCAAUACUGACGCUCAUGCACGAAAGCGUGGGGAGCAAACAGG
rnacentral:rRNA from 1 species